UCACAGAUCUGUGCUUGUUUAAGUAAUGGCAGAGCCAUAAAACCCCUCCCCAGAGGGCCCCCAGGCACACAGAUCCUGUUCUCUGGAGAAAGGCCACAGACCUGCCCUCACUCAGACCUCUCUCUUCUAACGGAAUUUGCUGAAGGCCAUGAGGGGAAAGAGUAUGGGUCCCAGCUGGGAUACCUAUCUAGUGUUGAAGCCCUGCAGAUAGAGGGUCAGGAAUACCAUCUCCUGCAAGAGAACAGCCCGGGGUGAACUUGGGUCAUCAGAGAACAUUCGGGUGUUAGUGUCUACCAUCCAAGUGCCCGGGCAUCAGGAGCUGCCUGCCAAGAAGUAUCAGAUGUGGCUCUUGCCCUUGGAAAGCUUACGUUCUGGAUAAAAAGAAAAUGAACAACAGAUGAAACGUUAAAGAAAUGGCUUAGCUCUUAGGAGUGGUUUGUCUCUUGGAAGGUGGCGCACAGACACAGGAGGUGGUGACAGGCCAGGGCAAAGGGCACGGGACCGGAGUCUACAGUCUCGUCCUGCCAAGCCUUCAGAGCCCCACGCCUCUCUCUGUAAAACAGGAUGAUGGUGCCUGCUUCCCAGGGCUGCCUGGAGGGUCACGUCCGGUUUGUAAGGAUGCAGGGAGAAGAAGCUGGCCCCAACCCAGCGUGCUCCUGUCCCAGGAUUUCUGUGAUGGGAACGUGAUUGUGAAGCCUGCGGUCCUAGAAGACUGCUUACCAGCUCCUCAUCCCUUCUUUGCUAUUUCCUGGGAGUUGCUGCCAAUCUAGACCCCGUGGACUUGUAGAUUUACAUCAUCUGUGCUAUUGGUUACAUCUGCCUGGAAAACUCUGCCGAAUUCAUUUUAAAAAUACACGGUUGAAAUGAUUUCCCUUAAUACCCCAGCAAACCUCCACAUGGCUAUUUUGUAGUCGAGGCAGGCUCCACUUUAAUCUACUCCAGAGCCACUUACAUUCUCUGCACCUGGAAUGAGAAUAUCCACAUCAGUUAUGUUUCCUGUGUUUCAGCAAAGGCUACAAGUCAAAACUAUAAUUUUGGUCCCGGGAUGAACUAGAAGGCAUGCAGAACUUCCCUGACCAGGGAUUGAACCCACGCCCUCUGCAGUGGAAGCGUAGAGUCCUAACCACUGGAUCACCAGGAAGUUCCACCUGUAAUCCUUGCAGCCACUGUACCUGGAAAUAUAGGCAUUACUACACACACCUUUUUGCU
ensembl:lncRNA